ensembl:lncRNA
UCCAAGACAGUGAAAUCAUCUUUAUUGUACUUCUGACUGAACUAGCAAGGAGCAUUAGAGACAAUGAGAAAAACUCAAAAGAAGAUACUUUGAAGAAUGCUGGUAAUCAAACCCAACAAGUUUGUCAGGUGCAGAAAUAAAAGCUCCCAAACAAAGAUGUCACCGGAUUAAGAUGUGGAAAGACAUGUUACACCACAACAACUAUAAAUCCUGAGUAAUUUGAAUAUGGGCAACAACCAAGAAAAAUUACCCAUUGAUUUAGUCAGAAAUGACUCAUGGUAAUAGUAAUAGUAAAUGAUUAGAUAAAUAAAUAAAAAGUACAAAAUGGUUUUAAUUUUAAA